rnacentral:lncRNA from 1 species
AUUUAUCCCAACCACUCAUAGUUAUCACUAUUGUCUCUCAAACAGACGGUGUGUCUCUCUCUUUCUCAUUAUCUGAACAUAACCAUCUGAAUCUGAAAAUUUCCAAACCCCGUCGAUGCUGCUGUCUGUGCAAACCGUUGGUGCUACGAUCUCAACUUUUCCAAACCGUCAGCGUCUGAAAUUCUCGAAAUCAAUUGUACAAUAUGUGGAAUUUCCAAACAUCUAUAAGCUAUUGUAUGUCGUAAUGUUGAUAUAUAUUCUAUAUGCAUUUUUUGCCUUGAUCAAGAACAAGUGCUGCAUUCUCUCUUAUUAACUUUUCUUAAAAUGAUUUGCAUUUUGUCUACCAAUUUUUAUAUUGUCUCUUAGCUCUGGG